rnacentral:rRNA from 1 species
GAUGACGCGGCGGCGUGCUUACACUGCAAGUCGAACGGAAAGGCCACAGCUGCUGUGGUACUCGAGUGGCGAACGGGUGAGUAACACGUGGGUGAUCUGCCCUGUACUUCGGGAUAAGCUUGGGAAACUGGGUCUAAUACCGGAUAGGAAUCACAUGUGGAUGUGUGGUUGGAAAGCUUUUGCGGUAUGGGAUGAGCUCGCGGCCUAUCAGCUUGUUGGUGGGGUAAUGGCCUACCAAGGCGUCGACGGGUAGCCGGCCUGAGAGGGUGUACGGCCACAUUGGGACUGAGAUACGGCCCAGACUCCUACGGGAGGCAGCAGUGGGGAAUAUUGCACAAUGGGCGCAAGCCUGAUGCAGCGACGCCGCGUGGGGGAUGACGGCCUUCGGGUUGUAAACUCCUUUCGUCAGGGACGAAGCGAAAGUGACGGUACCUGGAUAAGAAGCACCGGCUAACUACGUGCCAGCAGCCGCGGUAAUACGUAGGGUGCGAGCGUUGUCCGGAAUUACUGGGCGUAAAGAGCUCGUAGGUGGUUUGUCGCGUCGUUUGUGUAAGUCCACGGCUUAACUGUGGGAUGGCAGGCGAUACGGGCAUAACUUGAGUGCUGUAGGGGAGACUGGAAUUCCUGGUGUAGCGGUGAAAUGCGCAGAUAUCAGGAGGAACACCGAUGGCGAAGGCAGGUCUCUGGGCAGUAACUGACGCUGAGGAGCGAAAGCAUGGGUAGCGAACAGGAUUAGAUACCCUGGUAGUCCAUGCCGUAAACGGUGGGCGCUAGGUGUGAGUCCCUUCCACGGGGUUCGUGCCGUAGCUAACGCAUUAAGCGCCCCGCCUGGGGAGUACGGCCGCAAGGCUAAAACUCAAAGGAAUUGACGGGGGCCCGCACAAGCGGCGGAGCAUGUGGAUUAAUUCGAUGCAACGCGAAGAACCUUACCUGGGCUUGACAUACACCAGAUCGGCGCAGAGAUGCGUUUUCCCUUGUGGUUGGUGUACAGGUGGUGCAUGG